UACGGAGGGGGGCUAGCGUUGUUCGGAAUUACUGGGCGUAAAGCGUGCGCAGGCGGUUUUGUAAGUCUGUCGUGAAAGCCCCCGGGCUCAACCUGGGAAUUGCGAUGGAGACUGCAAGGCUUGAAUCUGGCAGAGGGGGGUAGAAUUCCACGUGUAGCAGUGAAAUGCGUAGAGAUGUGGAGGAACACCGAUGGCGAAGGCAAUCCCCUGGGCCUGCACUGACGCUCAUGCACGAAAGCGUGGGGAGCAAACAGG
rnacentral:rRNA from 1 species